GGCGAACGCUGGCGGCGUGCUUAACACAUGCAAGUCGAACGGAAAGGCCCUGCUUUUGUGGGGUGCUCGAGUGGCGAACGGGUGAGUAACACGUGAGUAACCUGCCCUUGACUUUGGGAUAACUUCAGGAAACUGGGGCUAAUACCGGAUAGGAGCUCCUGCUGCAUGGUGGGGGUUGGAAAGUUUCGGCGGUUGGGGAUGGACUCGCGGCUUAUCAGCUUGUUGGUGGGGUAGUGGCUUACCAAGGCUUUGACGGGUAGCCGGCCUGAGAGGGUGACCGGCCACAUUGGGACUGAGAUACGGCCCAGACUGCUACGGGAGGCAGCAGUGGGGAAUAUUGCACAAUGGGCGGAAGCCUGAUGCAGCAACGCCGCGUGCGGGAUGACGGCCUUCGGGUUGUAAACCGCUUUCGCCUGUGACGAAGCGUGAGUGACGGUAAUGGGUAAAGAGGCACCGGCUAACUACGUG
rnacentral:rRNA from 1 species